rnacentral:lncRNA from 1 species
UUAGUUGCUUAAUUCAAAAUUAUUGGAUAUUCGAAUAUUUUCUGUGUUUGUGUAUGUGAAGUAUAUUCUGCAGAAAAAAAUUAGAUAAAUAUAUUUUUUUUUUCCGGUUUUCGUCAAUUAAAUGCAAUAUAAAAAUAGGUCUCCUAAUAAUAUUUUAAUAUUUAUUUCAAAUCAACAGAAAUUUAUUCAUCAUAUUCAUCAAAAAAUUUAUAAUAAAAUUUAAUUUUUGAAAAAGUAAAUUCAUCUGUUAUAUUUUAUUCAAAAAUAUCU